rnacentral:hammerhead_ribozyme from 1 species
AUCCAGCUGAAAAGUCCCAAAAAGGACGAAACACACGUCCUGGAU